GCAAGUUUUCUCUUUUCUAUCUCGUUGUGUUGUUUUUGGGAGAAUGCCUACGGUAUCUGAUGUCCAAAGUUGAAAAAAUGUGUUUGGACAUUUCGUUUUUCUUAGGCAGAAAGUGAAAUCAGGCUUUGCGACACUGUUAGCUUCUUAUAACCAUAAGCUACCUGUUACUUUUAUACCUGUUUACAUCUACUUAUCAACUGGUUAGGUUUUUGUCUCCCUAUAUCUGUCGUGUUUUAUAGUGUUACUGUUACGUUCGUACUUAUGCAGGUUAUGUUUCGCUUGCAUCUCUGGCGUGGAAGAGGAUUCUUAAGUCGAUAUCCUGGUUACUAAUUCGAUCUUCUUCAAUUUUUUGAAGAACACCUACUGUCAUUUAUUGAAUUGUAAUUGUAAUACCAAGUCUUUAUGACCCCAAAUAUAAAUAAAGAAAUUUCUCAUUUUUGUAUUUUAGUUACUGCAUAAUCUCUUAGUAGCAAAAUAAUUUAACCUCCAUAAUUUAACCAUGAAGUUGAUAGCCAAAGCCUCUAUUUUCUUUUGGUAUCUAUUCGUUAUGAAUGUAAGCUGAAAUAAAACCAUGGACACAAUGAAACCUCAAUGUUUUCUUUGCAGGCAAUCUUGCCAGUUUCUUUGUAAUGGAAUUUCAAUUCAUGAUUGCUUUUUGGAAGUAGAUUGUAAUCUAGCUGAUUUGAAGUGGAAUUUGAAUUCAUGAUUGCUAAUCGAAUUUGAAGUCACGAAGACCUACAGAAACCUAGCUUUAUACAUAACAAGAGGCGAAGUUACCACUAUAUAUUGUGAUGGACCAGUAAAGAGUUUUGUGUUCCAGUGUAAAAUAACUGCUAGCAUAUUUACAAAUAGCUUUGUAAUGGUAUCAAAUACUCUAAAAUACUAACAAUUGCUGACUCCGUUCUUGUAGUUGCAACGAGCAUUGUGAAGAACAUCUAGCACUAGAUAUUGACACUAACAGAGCCUUUUCAGUGUCUCCGUCGAUUCGUCGUUGUACCAAUUUGAUGAGAUACUCCAAGAAAACCGAAUCGAAUGGCAAGGUGAUUGGUCCACCCGUUGGGAGUCCAAACUCUUCUUCAGAUAUCUUCAAGAGCUCUUGAAAAACAGAGUUGCUCAGGUAGCUUAUCGGAAAAGCAAAGCGUUUGUUAUCUGCCGUGUAAACUACAAAACAUCCCUUCUCCACAGCGGUUGAGCUGCUGGUAGUAGCUGUGGACUUGUGAAAUGAGAUUCUUUUCCUGUGGAGAGCUGCUCUCUGUUGCCAUUUCUUGGCCAUCUUGAGUAGUUUCUUAGUGUUGAUCAUCUUGUUCUUGGAAAGAGAGCAAACAAAUAUAUUACUUGAAAGUUGUGUUGAAGAAACCUUUGUAUUAGUGCAAGCUGUGAUUGAUGAAAAAUGCUAUAAGCUUUGUUGUAUUUAUAUAGAAGGAGAAAUUAAUAGAUUUAGAAAUGAAUUGGUGAUAAGCUAUCAAACACCUAACCAGACACAAACACAUGCUUAUGUUUCUACUCAGUGUGAUCAUAACUCAUAGGGGUCCUAAGUUGGUAGCUAGUCAAUCAUGUCUGCUAAUGAACUUGUGGACUAUAUACAACUUCUUGUGAGAAUUGAGUAGACAUGACAUGUGUGUAUGAAAAUUCUAUAUGGACAUUUUUAUGACAAGAAUUAGGUACCAAGACUUUGAUGAAUAAUGCAGCAAGAGGCUGUUGUAACAUUAUAUAGAUAUAUAUAUAAUGAGUAGUUGAGAACUUGUCAAGCAGACAAGACAAGUCUUGAAGACAAGAGCAGCCAAAAACCCAAACUCAUGUUUGCUUAAGGGUCCCCAUGGUGGUUAGUUGAUCGAUCCAUUAGCUACUUCAAAUGUGAGUCACACAAAUAUUAGAUCAAGCUAAGCAGGGAACCUCAAAUCUGGUUAAAAUCAAUGAUCAUAUAGAUCAAUACAAUGAAACACAUGUGAGAUGAACCAAAAAAUGAGAAACAUGUAGGCUUCUCACAUUCCUGCUAAAAAGCUCAUAUUUUUAUUGAGAUCAGAUCGGUCAAAGGGCAUGUUCUAAUGCAGUCUGUAUACUAUCUGUGCCUUUUCACAGUUUUCUUGUUCCAGAGAUGGUUUGAUGUAUAAUAAGGCAUUUAGUUAGUGUGUGUGAAAUUUGACUUGAUGCGACUGCAACAUUUUCCAUGAUAAACACUUUUUAGAUUAAUUUGUAAAAAUGAUUAAUAAGUUUAACGAGAUGAUAUGUUUUUUUUUGUUAACGACAACUGAUGUUAUAAUGGGCCUAAACGGGCUUAGCAGGUUUGAUCAAAAGGAAAUGGGUAGCCCGUUUAUUAUUAUUUUUUUCUGUGUAAACGACGUAGUUUCACUUAAUGGACUAAAAGCAUCGCAGCCUCAGAUUCUGAUCCUCACAAAAACUUUCAGCUCCGCCUCGAUAACCUAACAAGUUUCGGAAAUGUCACCUUUGUCGUUGGAUCGGAAAAUGAUGAAUUCAUCACCUUCCAUACCGAUUGAUUUCAUGGUGGAGAUCUUGUCGAGAUUGCCUGCAAAUUCAGUCGCCAGGUUUCAUUGCGUGUCGAAGCUAUGGGCAUCAACGUUGAGUAGCUCAUAUUUCAAGGAGUUGUUCAUGGCCAAGUCUUUAGCUAAGCCGCGCCUCUUGUUCGCCAUCGGGGAAAACGGAAACGACAAAGGUAAAGCCAAAGGGUAUGGUAUGUGGAGCUUCUUCUCCUUGCCUCAGCUCGAGAAUCCAUUUGAGAAAUCAACGUCGUCGACUACUCUUGUAGCAUCCGCUGAGUCUCAUGUGCAGAAGUUUUCUCCAGCCAGUAUAGAUAUCGAUUAUUAUAGUAACAUAAAGUAUUUCUCAUGUGGCUACAACUCUGGCUUGAUCUAUUUCCAUGGUUCUCGAUACCAAGGUAGACCUGUGAUUUGUAACCCCAACACAGGACAUUAUGCUGUCUUACCUAAAAAGUAUACUUACAGAAAGGCGUAUAGUUUUUUCGGGUUUGAUCCGAUUGACAAGCAAUACAAGGCGUUGUUUAUGGCUUAUCCAUCUGGUCCUGGUCAUCAUAGUGUUCUUACUUUUGGAGCUGGAGAUAUGAAGUGGAGAAAGAUUGAUUGUUCAGUUCGACAUGAGAUUAAGAGUGAUGGGGUUUGCAUCAAUGGCGUUCUGUAUUACUUAGGUGACACAUCUGAUUGUGAUAAUGAUGCUCAUGAAGGAUUGUCUGAUUAUGUGGUAGUUUGCUUUGAUGUUAGGUCUGAGAAAUUCAGCUUUAUUUGCGUAGAAAGGUUUUGUCGAUUGGUAGACUAUAAAGGAAAACUAGCUGUGGUGUUUUGGGAGGAUGAUUUCGACUUUUAUGAGGCUGCUACAUUUGAGUUGGAUGUCGACGAUUAUUUGGAGGAAAAUCUCAACGCUGUUGCCAAUAAUGAGCUGCAUGUUUGGGUUCUGGAGGAUGUUGAGAAACAGGAGUGGUCGAAACAUGCAUACUGCUGGAGUACUGAUGGUAUAUUUUUCCGUCGCCAGGUUUCCAUUGCUGGAGUGACUGCUUCGGGUGAAAUUGUGUUUUCAACGCGCAAGUAUACACCUAAACAACCGUUUUAUGUUUUCUACUUCAGUCCCGAACAGAACACUCUCCAACGUGUUGAAAUCCAAGGUUUCGGUGAAGCGUUUAAGAAACCUUGUAGCGUUCUCACCGUUGUGAACCACGUAGAAGAUCUUCAUGUUAACGAUUCAGAACUGCUCAAGCCAUCCUUUGAGGAUUCAAAUUAUUCAAAUUCAGAUUCAGAGUGACAAGAGACAAGGGAAAGAAGAUAUGAUGAUUCAUUGGAGUUAGGUGAAAGCAAUGAGCAUGUCAUUUUGUGCUCUUUAUCUCUUAUCAUGCUUUUUUUUUUCGCCUUUAUAAAUAACUUAUUAACAUCUCUUGUUCUUGUUCAGUCUUGUUUGUUGUUCAGUCUUGUUUGUCAUAUGAACUAUCGAUGAAUUAUAGUGAAUGACCUUUUAGCAGCUAGAUCACUUUUUGUCAGAAUGACUUGAAGAUUUCAGAGAUUUACAGGAAACUGUUGAAAGAAGUGAUUUUAAGUUAGAUGAAAGUCUCCAUCUAAACGGAAGUUAAUUUUGUAUUUUGAUAAGACAGGACAACUUAAAAGAGAGACAAAGCAAAAAUUUGUAUUUCUGAAAUGAUCUGUCUAUCUAAUCUGCUUUAAACUAUGAAAAAACAUAUAACUAGACUUAAACUCUAAAAUACAAGCAGUUGUUUUUGAGUAAUACUACUUUGCAGUUCUUGUGGUUGCAAAGAGCAUCUAGCACUUGAGAUUGACAUCAACAGAGCCUUUUCUGUAUCUCCAUCCAUUCGUCUUUGGAUCAGUUUGACGAGAUACUCUAGAAAAGCCGAAUCAAAUGGCAAUGUGAUUGGUCCUUCCGUUGGGAGACCAAACUCUUCUUCUGAUAUCUUCAAGAGCUCUUGGACAAUAGAGUUGCUUAGGUAACUUAUUGGAAAAGCAAAGCGGAUGAAAUCGGCUGUGUAAACCACAAAACAUCCCUUUUCUACAGCAGUUAAAUUGUUAGAAGCCCUUGACCUCUGAAAUGAGAUUCUUUUCCUGCUUAAGGCUGCUCUUUGUUGCCAUUUCUUGGCCAUCUUCAAGAGCUUCUUAGCGUUUAUCAUCAUUUUCUUGGAAAAAUAUUUUGAUUCAAAGAGAUAUGGAUAAAGAAAGAGAAAAGAAUUGUUUGUAGAGUUCUCUGAAUAAAAGUUAUGAUUGAUGAAGUAUACCAAAGGCUUCUUUCAUUAUUAUAUAGAAGGAGAAGCUAUUAGGGGGAUUAGAUAGGCUUUCUGAGCAACCUAAACAGACACAACACAUGCUUAUGUUUCUAAUCUAUGUGAUCAUAAGGGUCCCAAGUUGGUAAUCAAUUAAGUCAGCAAAUCAACUUGUGGAGUGUGGACUGAACAACUUAUUAUGAGAAGACAUGAUCAUGUGGGAAUGAAUCUUAUAGGUUACACACACAAGAGAAGAGAAGCCAAAAAUGCCAAUUAUAUUCGUCCUUCUGUACAGCUUUGUUUCGUAGCAGUAAGGGUCCGUAGUUGGUGGUCCAUAAGCUAAAUCAAAUGUGAGUCACAAAGAUAAUAGAUCAAGUACUUAUUACUCAGGGGACAACAAGUCUUUUUUUGAAAUCAAAGACAGAAAUGUGGUUAGAAUUGAUGAUGCAAUAAAAAGAUACAAAGAAAGACAUGUGCUAGUGAGUAGUACUGAGGCAAAGAUGAAUAGCUUGUAGGUCCUUUAAAAAAGACAGUGAAUCAACUAUUCCUGACAAAAUUUCACAUUUCCUUUGAGAUAGAUUAAGCUUAGUUCAUACAAACAUAAUUCGUUGGUACUUAUCUAGUCUUGUAUUACUUUUAAGUGAUUCAUAAGGAUAGUGAAUUGACAUAAAUGAUAGUUUUAGCUUCUGCACCAUUUUUUUUUUUUUGACAGAUUGUUUCAGAGCAUAACAGUUUGAUUAAACGGUCACAACAAGUGUUGUUAAAGUUAUCUCAUUUUAAUUUGUUUAGAAUGAAGGUUGAUUUUGGAGAUAGUCAAAAAGAGUAACAUAAGUAAUAGUUUGUAUUUCUGUAUUAAUCUGUCUAAUCUAAUACAGUAGAGUCUUUACAAACACAGAAAUUGAUACACUCUAAUUCUUUAAAGUACAAGCAAAUGUUGACUACUCUGUUCUUGUUGUUGUAAAGAACAUCUUGCACUAGAGAUUGACAUUAACAGAGCCUUUUCUGUGUCUCCAUCUAUUCGUCGUUGUAUCAAUUUAAUGAGAUAUUCCAAGAAAACCGAAUCGAAUGGCAAGGUGAUUGGUCCACCGGUGGAGAGGCCAAAUUCUUCUUCAGAUAUCUUCAAGAGCUCUUGGAAAACAGAGUUGCUCAGGUAACUUAUUGGAAACGAAAAGCGGAUUUUAUCGGAUGUGUAAACCACAAAACAGCCCUUCUCAGCAGCGGUUGUUGAGCUGCUGGCAGUAGAAAAUGAUCUCUGAAAUGAGAUUCUUUUCCUGCUUAAGGCUGCUCUUUGUUGCCAUUUCUUGGCCAUCUUCAUGAGCUUCUUAGUGUUCAUCAUUAUUUCCAAGGAAAAGCUUUUUAGAUUGGAAUGAGAAAAGAGACUUGUAAUCAAGCUGUGCUGUAUAACUCUUUGAAUGCAAGUUUGGAUGAUGAGGAAUCGUAUAGGCUUGUUAGACUAUAUAUAAAGGAGAAACUUUAGGAGUUUAGAUAAAAUUAAGAGCAGCCAUACCACACAGAAUACAUGUGCCUGUCUUUGUUGUAUAUGAUCAUAAGGGGUCCAAAGUUAGUAACCAAUCUUGUCUGCUCAUAAGAUUGUGGAUAAAAAACCUCUCCUGAAAAGACAUGACCAUGUGGAUGUGGGUAUGAGUCUUAUACAUUAGUAUUACAAUUCAAUUUAAACACAUAGACAUGUGCUAGUGAAUGAAGGAUGUAGAACUUGUAGGCCCUUUGAUGUUCUCGCCAGAGAAGUUAAAACCUGCAGAAAUUUUAGUUGUUACAUAGAGUGAAAAAGUUUCAACAACAGCAAUGAAUUUAAACUUUGCAGGAAAAAAAUGUCAUCAGAAAUUUUGUAGAGACUAAACUUAACAUUUUCAAUCAAAAUAGAACAAGUACAUACAUACAGACACAAAGUUUAUCUUUGGACUUUGGUAAAACUUAGCCUAAGACGCACCAUAACCAUGAGGAUGAGCUGCAUACACUCAAGUAGUCAUUUAGGAACAUUAGGGUCUUGUUCAAGUAGGGUAUAACCUCAUGUUUAGGAACCUGAAGAUUCAUAUUGUGCUUGUGGAUUGUUCUUUUGAUUUUUCUCUUUGGAUCAUGAGGUUCAUGAGAUUAACGAUGAGGUCCCAGGGAUAUUGAAUUCAUAUUGUGCUUAUAAUCUCUCACAAGUUUUAGUAUAGUGUUCAAUCUUCCAGCAUAAUUGUGUAGACCCUAUAGAAAAAAAGAACCAAACAAUAGAUUGAUUCUCCACAUCAGUAAAUAAUCAAUUACAAGAAGAAAAGUGUUAAACCUUAGAGGAUUCAGUUGAUCUAUAUUUUAAAGGCAGACCGUUUCAAAUUGAUGAUAUCUUCCGUUAAGAGCGCUGAGGGUGAGAAUGUGAACUCUUUACUAUUAAGCUUAAACAAACCUGUAAGCCUGGCUGCAGGAAAAUAUUGGCUUUUGGUGAUGAGCUCUAUAACAUAAUCUGCAGAACGAUGUUUUGAAAAUAUUGGCAGUCCUUCUUCUUGUGUGGCUUUACAUGUGGGAUGUUCAGUGUAAUUAUAGUGAAUGAAACUUUUGGCUUCCAGAUUUCUGAGAUUUAUAUGAAACUGUCACAAAAUGUGACUUUUGAAGUUAUAUGUUUUUCUUUUUAACCUUUUGAAAGGAAGUUUCUUUUGAUUUUGAUUUUGAUUUUACUUAUGAGAGACAACUUAAAAGAGAGACAAAAUAAGAAUAGUUUGUAUUUCUGAAAUGCGCUGUCUAUAUUAACUUUACAAAACACAUAAUUUUUUGCUAAACUCUAGAAUACAAGCAACUGUUGAGUAAUUCUACUUUGUUGUUGUUGCAAAUAGCAUCUAGCAGUAGAGAUUGACAACAGUAGAGCCUUUUCUGUAUCAUCAUCUAUUCUUCGUUGGAUCAUUUUGAUUAGGUACUCCAGAAAAGCCGAAUCAAAUGGCAAUGUGAUUGGUCCUUCCGUAGGGAGACCGAACUCUUCUUCAGAUAUUUUCAAGAGCUCUUGGACAAUAGAGUUGCUCAGGUAACUUAUUGGAAAAGCAAAGCGGAUCUUAUCCACCGUGUAAACCACAAAACAACCCUUCUCUGUAGCGGUUGAGCUACUAGUAGUAGCACUUGACCUCUGAAGUGAGAUUCGUUUCCUGCUUAAGUCUGCUCUUUGUUGCCAUUUCUUGGCCAUCUUGAUUAGCUUCUUUGUGUUCAUCAUCAUUUUAAACAAAAGAUUUAGAUCGGAAAGUGAGAAUGGAGGAGAAGGUUUGUAAGUUCUGUUUGUAGAGCUCUUUAAACGAAUGUUUUGGUUGAUGAAGAAUACCAUAAGCUUGUUUCAUUAUAUAGAAGGAGAAACUAUUAGAUAGGCUUUUUAACAAGCUCCUGAGCAAUCAAACCAGACACAACACAUGCUUAUGUCUCUACUCUAUGUGAACACUAAGGGCCUCCCAAGUUGGUAAUCAAUUAUGCCUCCAUAUCAACUUGUGGACUAUAUAAUUUAUGGUGAGAAGACAUGAUCAUGUGGGUAUGAAUCCUAUAUGGACAUUUAUACGAAAAGAUUUAGGUACUGAUACGUUAUGCAUACAAGAGAAGCCAAAAAUACCAAACUCUGUACAUCUUUAUUUGUUAUGAUAAGGGUCCCAGGUUGGUUAGCUGUCUAUCAGCUAAAUCAUAUGUGAGUCACAAAUUUUUUAGAUGAAGAGAUACAAAGAAAGUGAAUAAACUAUUCCUGCUACAGUUCACAAUUCCAUAGGUUAAGCUUAGAUCAUACAAACAUCUCAUGUCUUGUAUUACUUCUAGUCAAUGCAUCCUUUAUAUGUCUUUUAAGUUUUAAGGGCAAAACAGUUUUGAGUAAAACAGUCAAAACAAGUGAUGUCGAAGUAUCUCAUUUGUCUUUGUUUACAGUAAACGUUGAUUUUGAUGAGACAGUGCUGAAUAGAGAGAUAAAUAAAUGGUUUUGUAUUUCUAACAUAAUCUGUCUAAUCUUAUACAGUGGAAUCUUUACAAACAAAGAAAUUGCUAUACACUGUAAUUCUCUAAAAUACAAGCAGUUGUUCUUGUUGUUGAAAAGAACUUGGUAAAGAAGAACAUCUUGCACUAGAGAUUGACAUUAACAGAGCCUUUUCUGUAUCUCCAUCCAUUCGUCUUUGAAUCAGUUUGAUCAGAUACUUCAAGAAAACUGAAUCGAAUGGUAAGGUUAUUGGUCCUUCCGUGGAGAGGCCGAACUCUUCUUCAGAUAUCUUCAAGAGCUCUUGGAAAACAGAGUUGCUCAGGUAACUUAUUGGAAACGCAAAGCGGAUUUGAUCAGAUGUGUAAACCACAAAACAACCCUUCUCUGAAGCUGUUGUUGAGCUGCUGGUAGUAGAAACUGAUCUCUGAAAUGAGAUUCUUUUCCUGCUUAAGGCUGCUCUCUGUUGCCAUUUCUUGGCCAUCUUCAUGAGCUUCUUAGUGUUCAUCAUUAUUUCCAAGGAAAAGCUUUUUAGAUUGGAAUGAGAAAAGAGACUUGUAAUUAAGCUGUGUUGUUUAUAACUCUCUGAAUACAAGUUAUGGUUGAUGAAGAAUCCAAUAGGGGUUGUUUGAUUAUAUAUAUAAGGAGAAACUAUUAAGAGUUAAGAUAAGUUUAUUAAGAGCAACCAUACCAAAGAGAACACAUGCGUCCAGGUCUGUCUUUGUUGUAUGUGAUCAUAAGGGGUCCAAAGUUAGUAAGUAGUCUUGUCUCCUCAUCAAAUUGUGGAUUACAAACCUCUCCUGAGAGGACAUGACCAUGUGGAUGUGGGUUCGAGUCUUAUACAGUGGUAUUACAAUUCAAUUUAAACAUGAAGAUUAAAGACAUGUGCUAGUGGGUGCCUAUUUGUCCAAUAGUAUUACAAUUCCAUUUAUUUGUAAUUAGUAAUCAAAUCAUAUCUGCUACAUCAAUUUGUGGAUUAAACCAUUUACAACAUGAUGAAAAGAAACAUGAACAUGUGAGAUUGUGAGUGGUAUAUGAAUCAAUGUUGCAAAAGACAUUUUGAAGCUGAAAAAAAGAUGUGGAGAUCAUACAUGUGGAUACGUCCACUCAUGUUCUCAUGAAAUGAAUUGAAAUUUUUUGGAAUACCGGUUUGAAUUAAAAGUACAACCGAAAUAAACCGAAGUGAACCGAAAACCCUAUUAGCUACUACAUCUUGAAAUCAAACAGCCUCUAUAUAAAUGAGGCCGUCGCUGCUGACAACCUCAAAGAGUCAAAGUACAGAGAGAGACCUCGAGGGUCCUCCUCAACUCAACUUCGAAUCAUGUCUUGGUCUGGUUUAGGUCUUUUGUGUCAAUCGUAUCAUAUGUCUUCUUCUUCUAUAUAAACCCUCGAUGCUCUGUGUAGUUAUGUUAUUGGUGAAUUAGGUUGUUUGUCUCUGCAAGUGUUUCUUCGUUUAGCUCAGAUUUGAGGAAAGGGAUGAUAUGAAAUUGUCGCCCCAGUCUUAAAAUGCAUCCAUUACGAUGGAAUGUAAUAUGGUGAUUGACUAUUUUUGUCUGAUUCUUCUCAAAACACUUUCUUUCUUGUUCUUAGAAUCUAGUCUAGUGGAUAUGAUGAAAUGGCAAUAAUGUUUUGUGACACCCAGUCUGAUCUGCUUCGGCAGAGUGAGUGAUUUGCCAUAUUUUCUGAUCCAAAUUCUCUGUUUCUGUGUUUUCAGUUUUAUAAAUUUGAUUCAAAGUUUUGACCUUUUUAAUAGAGGAAUGAGGAUAUAAUUCCAUACGUCUGCAAAUCUGAAAUACAGUGUUGAUACAAUGACAUGCACUACCAUCUGACCUCUUCUGUAUCCUGUCUUCUCGGUUGUUCUGUUUUGAGUCCUUUGUUUUCUGCAAUCAAUGAUGAAAUUAUGUCAAAGUUCAAUGAUUAUACAAUGAUUAUCAAAUCACUAGAUCACCAUCUUUCGGCUGAGAUUGCAAGUUUUCACUUUUCUAUCUCGUUGUGUUGUUUUUGGGAGAAUGCCUACGGUAUCUGAUGUCCAAAGUUGAAAAAAUGUGUUUGGACAUUUCGUUUUUCUUAGGCAGAAAGUGAAAUCAGGCUUUGCGACACUGUUAGCUUCUUAUACCAUAAGCUACCUGUUACUUUUAUACCUGUUUACAUCUAUCUUUUAUCAAUCUCUGGUUUUAACCCUAACCCAUUCUUAGAUUUUAUUCGUAUCAUCUCGUCUUUUACAUUGUUCUUGUUGUAGGUUUUAUUGACUUGGUUCUCUUGGUAUUGAAGUUGCUUCCAUGGGGAUAAUCUCUUGAACCAUCUCUGUCGUUCAUAUGAUGCCUUAAGGGGAUGUCAACUAUCUUAUUGAUCCGUGUUUUAUUGACAAGUUCUUGUAAGAGAGGGAAGAGCUUUGAAGGGAUUUACUACUGGAAUAUCAAAGUCACAAGUGCUUAUUAGACUAGAUGGAGUUUGUAUCAGAAUUCUUAUGUGAUUUAACAUUCUGACUUGUAUGAUUAUAUGAUAACGAGAGUUACUCCAAUCUUUUGUUUUGACCCGAAAUAUAAACAAGACAUGAUUUUUGAACAAAAUGUGAUACACAUUCUUGGUUUCGGCUGAUACUUGUGUUC
rnacentral:lncRNA from 1 species